UACGAAGGGUGCAAACGUUGCUCGGAAUCAUUGGGCGUACAGCGCACGUAGGCGGCUUGCCCAGUCGGACGUGAAAUCCCUCAGCUCAACUGAGGACGUGCACCCGAAACUGGCGAGCUUGAGUACUGAAGAGGAUCGCGGAAUUCCCGGUGUAGAGGUGAAAUUCGUAGAUAUUGGGAAGAACACCGGUGGCGAAGGCGGCGACCUGGUCCAUUACUGACGCUGAGGCGCGACAGCGUGGGGAGCAAACAGG
rnacentral:rRNA from 1 species